rnacentral:rRNA from 1 species
GACGAACGCUGGCGGCGUGCUUAACACAUGCAAGUCGAACGGAAAGGCCCUGCUUUUGUGGGGUGCUCGAGUGGCGAACGGGUGAGUAACACGUGAGUAACCUGCCCUUGACUUUGGGAUAACUUCAGGAAACUGGGGCUAAUACCGGAUAGGAGCUCCUGCUGCAUGGUGGGGGUUGGAAAGUUUCGGCGGUUGGGGAUGGACUCGCGGCUUAUCAGCUUGUUGGUGGGGUAGUGGCUUACCAAGGGUUUGACGGGUAGCCGGCCUGAGAGGGUGACCGGCGACAUUGGGACUGAGAUACGGCCCAGAAUCCUACGGGAGGCAGCAGUGGGGAAUAUUGCACAAUGGGCGGAAGCCUGAUGCAGCAACGCCGGGUGCGGGAUGACGGCCUUCGGGUUGUAAACCGAUUUCGCCUGUGACGAAGCGUGAGUGACGGUAAUGGGUAAAGAAGCACCGGCUAACUACGUG